ensembl:lncRNA
AAGAUGCAAUGUAGGCAUCUUCUGGUUUCUCAAACUUCCAUUGUAUUAGAAUCACUUGGGGCACUUGGUAAAAAUAACGUCUUGGGUCCUUCAAUGAACCUGUCUCUUUAUCAGCUUUCAGGUGAUUCCCACACACACACCAGAGUUUGAUAACUGCUGCUUUAGAAGAUGGCUAAAAAUAGCUUAGGCUUAAGUAGUCUCAGGCUAACUCAUACACUGUUAACCCCCCACCCUGCCAGGGGCAGGCCCAAUCUGCCAACCGCAGGACAGAUUCUUCCAGACUUCUGUAAGAGGUAGCAGAGUCUUUAGCUUUUCAGAAGAAGGCUUAGUGAUCCAAAUAAGUCCCUGGCGGUGGUCAGGAGAGCUCAGUUUUAAUCUUGUGGUCGAAAAACUAAUCUUAGACCAGUCCUCUACCCUUCGUAUUGGUAUUGCUCACUGUCUGCAUUACUAUGGAAAAUUACGCAUUGUUUGUAUGGAUACUGCAGGAAGAACGAGGGCGCUGCAGCCAUAGGCCAGCACUAGGCAACAGCCCUGCAGCCCAGUGAGUCCAGUGAGGGCAUGGGGCAUGACUGGAGACUGAGGCAUCGGAGGAGGAGGAGCAGUGAGCAUGGCCUGGGAAGGAGCUGGCAGCAAGCAGUGCCAGUCAUUCCAUUGUCUGGGGAACAGCCAGCAAUAGACAAACGUAAUUAACUACUAAUGAAUGCAACUUUAUCUGGUACCUUCGGAAGGUGGCGUCUGUUUUAAGAAAAAUCACCCCUGGAGAAAUAAGUGUUGACUGACCGCUGUCACAAGGAGAGGGUCAUAAAUUGUCAGCAGGCCCCCCUGGCCAGAAGAUGAUGUAACACCCCUAAGACCUCUGUAUACAUUUGUAUGAAGCACCUGACUUUGAUAAAAGUUAGGACUGCUGACCCCGCGUGACUUUUGUAUAACAUCUCAGUGUAUAAAAACAGACUCUGGAAAAUAAAGAAUUGGGAUCAGUUCCUCGAAAUACUGGUCUCCCCAUGUCGUUCUCUCUCUCUCAAACUCUGGCUGAGUCUCCAUCUGGAGCGCGGAGCCCGCCGUGCUUACUAAUUAUGCCUGGGCUUCUAAGAUCCGACCGGGGAGGCCUCAGUGUCUCCUCUCCUUUGGGAGAACGGAAGGAUGUCUGCGGCCUAUGUAAGUGGUGCAAGCUUCUUGUCUUGAAGUUUUAUUGGUUUCCCACAUAAACCAAGCUACUCAGCCUCUUUUCUCCACUGAAUUUUCCUGCUGAGCUAUCCUCAUUCUUUUACUCUUUAUAUCUCUAAUUAAUAUUUAAAUAAGUUGCUGAUGCCGUCCCUGGUUCGAAUACACUGGAUCAACUGGGGCUGGACCCUGGCAUAUUUCCUCUCUGCUCCACAAUGCUCUUUGUCAUUUCCCUCUCUGUUGCUUACUUCUCACUACCUGCAUCAGCCUCAUUACUAUUCCUCACUCAUUUCAAGCAGAGUAAAUAUUCAAGGCCUUUGUGCUUGUGCUUGUCUCUGUCUUUGUUCUGUGCGUGGGCCAGGCUGUGUGUUAGGUUGUUAGAUUAGGCCUUCUGAGAUUCCCAAACUCCCCACAGACCCACCUGUGAGAGGGGUUCCUACUGUGUGGAAACUUUUUUCUCCUUCAUGACUCCCUCCUCAGGACAGGUCUGUGUCCCUAACUCUUUUGACUCUCUUUUUGCCUUUUAUAAGCUAGCUGGCUACCUACCAGCCCCUACCUGUCUUU